UGAGAGGAUUGACUCCAAUUUUGAAAGAAGUUCAAACCUUCAGCAACUACCACCUUGAUCAGUCAGCAGCCAUCAACAUUGAGGCAAGACCAUCCAUGAGCAAAGAUUACAACUCGCUGAAGCCUCAGAUGAUGGUUAGGAUUUUUAGUAAUAAAGUAUUUUUUAUUAAGUGAUCCCCUUCCCUUGAGAGGAGUUAGCAAGAAACAGGACUAGCGCAUCUCUGAGAACACCUUCUGUUGGCUUUCCUUCCAGGAAGAAAAUGAGCAUAAAGUUAGCACUGAGCUUUUCUGGAACCACGGACAUGGGAGACACCAGAAAGUUUUCUGAAUAAAUACAAGAAGCCUCUUCUGGAGUCUCCAGGAAAACGGACGAUAAUUUGUAGCUCAAUGUAUCUCCACUUUUUUUUUUUUUCUGUGACUUGCUGACGUGUAUCUUGAAUUGGAGAGAGUAAAAUGAAGAAUUUGAACUCCUGGGCCAGAAACAUGCAAGUGGUUCGGAUCAAGGUAAUUUUGAUCCCUGCUGACUUCAGAGGACAGUUUGAAAGGAGACUUCUUCCCUUCUCUCAAGGGCUGAUUGCUGACGUCCAAAUAUGUCUCAAGGUUUAGUUCCUUGUAGAUGGAGCCAUCUCCCCAAAUAUGGAAAGUUCUCCUUUGAGUUUAAUCAAAUCAAGGCAGAGAAUUUUCUCCAUACUGAACAAAAUAUACAGUGCACUUCUGUGUUUCUUGUAAAGCACCUCAGAUCUGUGUAUGAGGAUGGCCUAAAAUUCCACUAACAGACUUCAAGAAGGAAAAAAUCAGCGAAUACAACCUCCAGUUUUUAGCUAGGCAUAUGCCAAGCUGAAUAAAGACUACAUUUCUCGAUCUCCUUUAAAAUUAACUCUGUUUACCUUCUGCCAAAUGAUAUGUAAGAAGAAAUGUUUUGUGUGGGCCUCUAAGAAAUCUUCUAAGAGUUGGUGCAUGCCCAUUGACACUUCAUUCUUCAUUCUCUGUCCUUUUUCCCGGAUCAUGAGGCAGAUGGCUGGAUCUCCAACAAUCAUAGAGGAUUGUGAGGUCAAGGCCAUAUCCUAGGAAUAGUGAAAUAGUGAGUUAGAAAAAGACCAAAUCCGAAAACUUCAUGGAGAAGAACAAUUAUAUCAGUCAUGGAAUAAUUUUCAUGUCAAAGAAUGAGAAAUAAACUAUGUUAUUUAAAUCACUAAUGUUUUGUUUUUCUCUGUCACAUACAGCCACGUGUAAUUCUAAUUGGGUCAGGGUGCUUUGUGGUGAGUUCAAU
rnacentral:lncRNA from 1 species